AGCCCCUUCGCUCCUAAGAACCUAGGGAUGGGGUGUCCCUGGGACCUAAGGAAAGUCAAAAGCGCGUGUAGUCUGGAAGCAGGAAAUUGGCAUCUGUGUUUCUGCAUUAUCACUGACUGCCUGUGUGACUUCCAACAAACUGCUUAACUUCUCUGAGCCUCAGUGUCCUAAUGGGUUCCAAGGAAAUGAUACCUCUCCUCUAUGAAUCUUCCACUAACCUCCCCACCUCUCCACACCACGGAAAACGGGGUUCAGAGGACUAAACGUAAUGCACGUGAAAGCUCUGUGGGCUAAAAGCACAAGACAAAUAUAUAUGUCGUUCUAAAGAUGUUUUUUUUUAACUGAGGAAGCACCGAAAAAUCACUUUCUUCCUGGAUAACUUUUCUGUCCAAAGCAGUAAUGGUAACCUUGCAGGCACCACCACAGCAGUAGUGAAAACAAAUAAUGGAGAGCAAGUCUCAAGGAAUACUGCCAUAGUACCAGCUUCCAGGCAUGAUUUUUACCAGGCCAUGAGUUAGCAUUUGUCUGGUAAAAAUGAAAGACCUUCUCAAAAAAGAUAGCAUGCUAUCAGGCCCCGGUGAGAAUGUGCCAUCUGGCCGUUCACAUACCCAGAAGUAACUGGGCCCAUGCUUGUUCUUUCUUCAACCAGGCUACCAAUGUGGAAGAUGCCCAGGUGACUUGUGUCUUCAGCAACUAAGAACUUCAGGACCAAGAGGGCCCUCUGAGUGGUAGCUGGUUCCUCAGAGCGGGAGCUCAGGUCACAAUCAGGCCAAGAGUGGACAGCCCUCCCAAUGCGUCUCGCCAAAGCCAAAUCACGCCUGGUCCAGGGUUUGACGGUCCUCUCCAGCUGUGGGAAAGCUCACGCCUAGAGCAGCAUCCUCCCAAAGCAGCCAGAGUGCCAGGUCAACAGGCCGAUGGUCGUCCGGGAUGCCUAAUUGGCUCAGAAACGAUCUCGAAUUUCAGAUCAGAGACCUCUAGGGUCCAAGUUGGAAGGGAUGAUACAACUCCACUUGUAAACGCUUUGGUUUACGGACCACUUCUUCAUCCUUUGAGGGUGGUGCAGAAUAGCAGCUAAGGGCAUUCCCUGUUGAGCCCCGAGUGUGUGUUCCUCCUCUGCUCUCCGCUAGCUGCAUGGCUGGGGGCACCCAGUGGGUGCUGGGCAAAUGCUAGCGGUACAUUCGACGUGUUACAUGACGUGCUGCAAUCUCCCAUUGCAGAUGUGGAAUCUAAGGUUUGGACAAGUGCACCCCCACACAGCAUCCCCACACCCCUUUGCCCUACUCUUUCUAUUAAGUCGCUCCUCCUUGUGUCUCUGCUACCUAAAUGACAUCGGUCCCUCGAGUCUGCUCAAAUGCUAGCUGUUCUAUAAAUUCUGCCUCCAGAACGGAGUUCAUCUCAGCUUCCUCCGAGCUGCCUAGCACUUUGUUCAUAACUCUAUCGCGCUGUGGAGCUCACUGGGCCACACUAGGCAAGAAAAAGGACCGAGGCGAGGACGUGACACACUGCAGACUGCGGUAAAGACCAGAGAGAGACGGACACAACGAAGGCACGUUUCGCCCCUGCAGCAACGCGUUCCCUCCUUCUCCUGCCCCACAGUCGGACGCACCGCGGGGCCUCUCAAAGCCCUCACCACGUUCUGGUUCCAAUCAAAGCUAACUCCACACACACUCUCUCUUCCCAGGCGGACUACCUUAGGGGGAGGAAACAGCUCAGUGUCACCUCCGCACCCGCCAUGGCACAUGGCCGAGGGUUGCAAGUGCUGAAGCAUGCCUGUUCCACUGAUCUGAGAAGAGCUGGCUGAUAGUGGUGAUGGUGCUGAAUGGCGGCAGAGAUGACAGUGAUAACAGGGAGGUUACCUGAACCGAAACCCAGCCGUCAUGAAGGGUGAUGUGCGCAUGAUGUUUCGCUAUGACCGAGUGAACAACAAGGGAUCCACGAAUCAGACCUAGAAACGUAGCCUACUCACUGGCCAACUGGAAAGCAAUGGAAAAUGGAAAAGGCAUAUGGGCGGCGCCUAUCUUAUCAGCUUGAGCCCAUCCAUAGAUUAAUGUGGCUUAGCGGUGGCAUGUGGAAAUCGUUGAAAAACCCUGUUGUUACUGUUCAUUGAGGAAGAUGUAGAAAAGAUCCAAAGGUACAGGGAAGAGAAACAGUCACAGUACUAUGAAAUUUCAUGACAGUUCUCUCGCACCUGUCUGAUUUGACACAGCUGAGAUCAGGCUGAUCCUGUGUGUCUCACAAUAUGUUUUAUUUAUUCUUUUUGAAUAAAUAACACACGCAGAAAGUACAAAGCUCAAAAGUCACAAAGAGCCGGGAGUGAAAAGGGUCUCUCCUACUCCUGCCUUCUGCCCACCGUUUUCUCCCAGGUCCCUCAUAGAUCCUUCCCGAGGAGUCCUCUGCCUCCCUCUGAACAGUUGUUUUGGGUGGGUUAAUAGUCAGUCCUCAAUCCUUCGAGGUCCUCAGAAACCAAAAAUUGUCUGUAAGUACGAAGUAUGUCCCUAAUGUAGCGUGUCUGUGCUGAUAAAUGAUAAAAUGUUACCGCCUCUAUGUCAGUUACAUAACGGGAAGCAGAUAGUGCCACUCUUCCCAAAGACUAUUCUUAGCUGACAAAUGUGGUUGGAGGUGCUCAACCGAGAUACAAUCCUUCAACAGGCCCCUGUCCCAAAGAUUUCCUGAGAUGUUGCCAGGAGCCCAUGGUGGCCUAAAAAACGGAGAACUUGAAAUCAGAGUCUGUGUGUGUUGGGUUGUCUCAGCUAAGACAUGAACGCCAGGCCCGCGUCCCGAAAGAACCCAUCUGAGAAAGUUACAGAAGGCAUCUCCGAUUCACAACACGCCCCCCGCCAACCCCCCACUGAAUAACACGUCGUCUGGCAACAGGAGGCGUUUGAUUACAUUUGGAUGGAACGCCUGCAUCAACUCCAGUUGUCCCCGAAUUGGAACUGCUGGGCCUCACGUGCUGCAGCCAACAGUUUGCCUUCACCCACUCCCCUCUCCGAAAUGAACCUUUCUCUGGGAAAACAAGAAACCUACGUGCCAUCCUGGGUGAGAGACGAACAAUGGCUGCAUCCCAGCAUUGCAUCCCAAGCGUGACAGGCAAGAGCACACUAAGGGGUUUCCAACAAAGAGCCAUACUUCAAGCAUCUCUGGAGAUGCCCUCUGAACCAGAGGACCCAAAUGUUCUCCCCGGAGCCCCGCGGUCUCUGUGUUUAAUUCAGUGCGUGGGCCUUAAGUUCUCACUGCGUGAGGUCUAAGGCACCCAGCUACUGUCCCCUUUAGCGAGCCUCCAUAACCUCCCUCCCCAUGCUCUGACUUUGCUUAAUCGCUGCAGCAGGCAGAGUAAUGGCUCCCCAAAGACACCAUCACCCUAAUACCCAGACCCUGUGACUAUGCUAUAUUACAUGGCAAGGGGCGGGGGGUGGGGUGGGGAGGGGUGGCUAAAGUCGCAGAUGGAAUACAUCUUGCUGAUCAGCAGACCUUAAAAAAUAGACUCUCCACAGUAGUCUCAAAAAUAGAGAGACUAUCCACAAUAUUGUGGCCACCAUAUUAUCGCAAAGGUCUCCAAAUGGGGAGGAGGGAGGCAGAAGUGUCAGACCCAGAAGAGUGACAUCAGGAGAAAGACUCGGUUUUCCAGCUGCCACCUAUGAAGAUGCAGUAAGGGGCCAUGAACCAAGGAAUACAGGCAGAAAAAUCUGGAAACGACAAGAAACUGGAUUCUUCCCUAGAACUUCCUUGGUGUUAACCCAGGGAGGUCUAUUCGGACUUCCGACCUCUAGAACUGUAAUAUUUGUGUUGUUACGUAGCAAUAGGAAACCAAGACAGUCACUGUGGACUUGCCAUGUGCCAGGCCUGGUACCAGAUGCCAAGGGAACAUUCCCACAGCAUGUGGUUUGUACCGUGUAUCUGUCAUCAGAGUCCUGCAGGGAAACUGAAGCCACUGUAAGAGUCUAAACACAGAGAAUCCAAUGCAGAUCACUGGCUAUGUAGGUGAUAGCAGAAGUGAAAAAGUCAGUCCGGCUGUUAGCAAUAGCAGAGGUUGCUACUAGGCUGGGCUAGAGGGAUAUAAAGAAGAGGCCAUAUUACCAGAGUGCAGAGGUCAAGUUUGCCAGGUGGAAGCUAGAUCACGGUGCACCUAUCCAGCAGGAGCUGGACGGGACAGAGCCCUGCUUUAGAUGCUCCUGAGGCAGAAAGGGAGAGAGAGAGAUACCUUGCUUUCUCCCUUUCUCCUGCCCUCUGAUUUCCUGUCCAGGCCUCCUGUUGGCUGCUUCCAGACAGAAGCUAGCUGGUGAAGGGCCUUGGGAUAUGCAGAGGUCAGCCCUCCUGUAGUACAGAGGGGAGCUGGGGAAGAGCAGUCGGUGAAUUAAUGGAUUUGAAGAUGAAUAAGCCCAAGACACCUCCUUUCUGCAUUGAUCAUCACGAAUCUCGAAGCAUAAUUAUCGUUUAAAAUGCAAAUUCUUUACCUGGCUCCUGAGACCCUCCAUAAGCUGGCCCUUCCCUAACUUCUCUGCUCUCACUCUCUACAGUUCCCCCCUUCACUCACAGCAUCCCCACUGCACUGGCCUUUGCUCUGUUCUCCACAUGCCAGAAAGUCUCACCUUGGGACCUUGCGCUUGUGGGUUGUAGCCGCUGUUAGAGAACAAGAAAUAAAUGUGUUUGGGGCUGAGUCAUUACAUUAACCUGCCUGAACUGAAACAAUUUCCAGUGAUAAGAAUUCUCAAUGCCUGGUCCAUAA